rnacentral:rRNA from 1 species
UGGGGAAUAUUGGACAAUGGGCGGAAGCCUGAUCCAGCCAUGCCGCGUGUGUGAAGAAGGCCUUUUGGUUGUAAAGCACUUUAAGCGAGGAGGAGGCUACUUGGAUUAAUACUCUAGGAUAGUGGACGUUACUCGCAGAAUAAGCACCGGCUAACUCUGUGCCAGCAGCCGCGGUAAUACAGAGGGUGCGAGCGUUAAUCGGAUUUACUGGGCGUAAAGCGUGCGUAGGCGGCUUUUUAAGUCGGAUGUGAAAUCCCUGAGCUUAACUUAGGAAUUGCAUUCGAUACUGGGAAGCUAGAGUAUGGGAGAGGAUGGUAGAAUUCCAGGUGUAGCGGUGAAAUGCGUAGAGAUCUGGAGGAAUACCGAUGGCGAAGGCAGCCAUCUGGCCUAAGACUGACGCUGAGGUACGAAAGCAUGGGGAGCAAACAGG